rnacentral:misc_RNA from 1 species
UCGUGGGGCUUCGGCCCCGUCGAGAUAGCACCCUUGCCUUUAUGAGUACCUUGGUUUCCUCCCCCGACCUCCGGGGAGUGGGAGGAGCCUCGUUUGUUUCCCCGGCUGGCUCCGGCCAAAAGGGGACCACAAAACACGCUGUAACAACCUGUAACCGUCUGAUAAAACAAACAAAAUCA